ACAAUCGUACCAACAAAAUCUAUAAUCUACCCUACCCUCUUCACACCUGCAGUCUCGCUCUUUCUCCAUGAAAUCUGAUACUCUCCUGUGUGUCUCCCCUCCACUACAGAGAGGACAGCCACUAGUAGUAGGAAAUCAUCUCCGUUGCCUCUCAACGGUUUGCCCCUUGACAUCUCUUCAGUGGAGCUUUGUGUAAAUUUAGAGUGUCCCAGUGUCAUUACCAUCAGGCUGACCCCACUCGAGGCAAUCUACACCACCCUCAUGUCCCUCUCAACAACCCUAUCAUCAACAUCACACAAAUUACUGCACCUGGAUGCUGCUACUGUAGAGGCUGAGGCUGUAAUCCAGCAUCACCAGAGCUGAACAUGUUUGUUUAACCCAAUUUCAGGGUGGGUUCGACUGAAGGGCUGACGCUGUCUAACACCUGUCAUGAUUAUGUAGUUGACUUGAUUUCUUGGGAAUUUUGUACCAAAUUUCAAAUUUUGUCAAUGUUCUGCAAAUACAAAAAUAGUAAAGAGUAAACUCCGGGCCCUAUACUAUCCCUGCUGUGUGUCAAUAGUCAACAAACUGCCUUACACCAGAAAUAUAGUGUAUAUGGUUAUGCUUGCAGCAGUUAUCACCCCAUUAUGCAGGCUAGAGUGCUUGUUUUUUAGCUGGGAGUCAAUGCAACAGUCUUACAUUAAGAACAAUACCCCCUUUCUCAAUGAGAGGCUUAUUUGAUUUUGACAAAACAAUAGAAUGUUUAAAAUCCUUUCAGUUUACCGACAGCGGUGUGAGAUUCAGACAUGGCUUUAAUAACAUCCAUCAGCAUGCAUGUGCAAUACUGCAAUAAAAUCCCUUCUUUCUCCAUCA